rnacentral:rRNA from 1 species
AUUGAACGCUGGCGGCAGGCUUAACACAUGCAAGUCGAGCGAGCGGCGGACGGGUGAGUAAUGUCUGGGACCCUGCCUGCUGGAGGGGGAUAACUACUUGACACGGUAGCUAUUACCGCAUACCAUCAGAUGUGCCCAGAUGGGAUUAGCUAGUAGGUGGGGUAAUGGCUCACCUAGGCGACGAUCCCUAGCUGGUCUGACUGGAUGGCAAGCCACACUGGAACUGAGACACGGUACAGACGAAAACGGGAGGCAGGAGUGGGGAAAGUUGGACAAGGGGAGCAAGCCUGACGUAGCCAUGCCGCGUAGGGUAAGGAGGGCUUCGGGUUGUAGAGCACAAUCAGCGAGGAGGCGGUACUAGCAGAAGAAGCACCGGCUAACUCCGUGCCAGCAGCCGCGGUAAUAC